UUUCCUAUUAUGCCUUAAAAGAGUGAAUCAUGAGGAGCAGCAGCUCAGAACUGCUCCUUGAUCAACAAGAGGGUCUCCGCCAACGUAAAAUAAAAGAAUUAGCGCAACAAGCCAAAAAGACGAGAGCAUCAGGGCAAUCAUGUCGGGAACGAACCCUCUUUUAUUCAACAAGCGUUCUCGCGGUAAUAGCUAUGUCGGCCGGAUCAUCACUACUAUUCCUAGUACCACUAUAUGUAGAUCCAGCGAUAUCAACUCUUGUUUCCAAUUUUGUUACAGAACCAGUUACUUGUGUUACGACCCGUCGUGAUGAACUUAUCGGUCUCGCGAAUUGUUCUUGGAGUUCGUGUCGCGAGGGUUGCACGAGUGAUGCGUAUCAGUGUACUCACAUUUACGUAAGUUACAACGAUUCCAGUAGCGCACCUAAUCAAACUGAUAACGCGAUAUUGUUAGUUAAUAUAAAAGGUUGUGGCUAUCCGCCGAGAGUACUAUGCGCAAAUUUCACGGAAGCUUACGGGAAUGAGGGAACCGAAUUUCCCUGUUACCAUUCUCGUGAGAACCGUACCGUCGUACUCACACAUUACGAUAGAGAUGAGCAGGUUGCUAUCAUAAUACAUUAUUUUGCUGUGCCAUUUGUAAUAACUCUCGCUACCUCAGUUGCAUUGUGUGUUAUGCACUGUGAUUGUCGUUGUCACGUUGCAGCUCAUCAUAAAAGGUCGAGGAGACCACGUCUGCAUCAUGAUUUAAGCGAUGGUUCCAUUAGUACUGGUGUGGAUCUGCAUUACACCAUUAGCCAUCACUCCGACUUAAUGGCUGUACCACCAGUGUGAUUGAUCUGCAAGCAGUAUGUAUCUUAUUAAUGUUCGCUGUGGUGAAACUCAUUGUACAUACGUACAGAAAGGCUUUAAUUUGACUUAUUGUACUGAUUUUGCUGGCGAAUUGAAACUUUAUUUCGUAUACUACAAUUGUAAUAAAUGCCUCCCUUUGGUUCAAAUGCGGUGUAGUCAAAAUUACUCGGGCUAACUUAGCUAAAUCUAGGGUAAACAUCUAUGUUUGAAAAUAUGUGACUAAUGCUCAUGUUUAUGCCAUCACACUGACCUCGAGGUUGGUAUGCUGAAACUUUGGACCUCCGCUGCACCGUAGGUGGUAUUUCAUAAUGGGGUUACGAGGGAGGGGAGGGAGGGUUUCUUGGUUCUAUUCCUUAGUCUAAUGUUAAACCAAUUCCCAUAAUUAAACUAAACAGCACUAAUUAAAAAAUAUAUCUAUUAAAGAUAUUCCCACCUUUAACUGUUCUCUCAAUAAGUUCAAAAUUAUGUUGGUAGGUAAAGGUUAGUACAAAUAAACCUCCUUUCUGAAUAAACCAAGGGUCUACAAUGUUUCAUUUGGGAGCCAUAAGAAUGGUUUCCAGAGUCUGGUUUACAGUCUCCAAUGCGCAGAUUGACAGUUUCUUGUUGUCUCCAAUCUUCCAUAAUUUUUUACCAUUGACAACUGGAUUUUCCAAGUAAAUAAAAAUGUUUUGUGGACUGUCUUUACUUUUCUCGAAAAAAAACUGAUUAUACCGAAGGAUACAAAAUGGAAUAGAUUAUUGCCAGAGCAAUCUCAGCCAUACCAACGAUCGAUUCAGUCAUUCAGUAUGAAUUGACAUAGAUGUCAGGCCUGGGAUUUGUCAAUGUGGCAACAUGAACACCAAUAAUUGUCUUUUUAAUGACCCUAUUCAAGAAUCUGAGCCAAGUUAGCCGAGUUUAUCUUAAAUACAUUGUAAAUUUGUAGGUACGCCAAGGAAGAAAAGUUGCUGAACGUUAGAUAAGUUCCCGCUUUGUGUACCUGUAUAUGUAUAUCAUAAUUAGUGUAUGGUUUAUGUUUUAAUGCAACGCAGGAAAACAUUAGGCAAGUUCUAUGGUUAUAACAUACACUAUGCUCGCUUAUUAGACCUAGUCUAGUAAUGAAGCUGAGGUGUACUUUUUUGCCAUAGAUCUUAUAAUAAACUAGUCCUUCGAGACUUUACAAAAAAGGUGAUUUAUAUAAACGUAAUUUAUGUGUUAGUUAGGUAAAUAUUAUGUUAAAAUAGGAACAUAUACCUACAUUUGUUUCGUGUUGAAUAAUUUAAUGGAACUAGAAGUAACCAGCUUAUUUGCUUUUGAAUGAAUCCAAUUCAUUUUUGAAAAUAAACUUUUGUACAAAAGAUGGCGAUUGUAUAUUUGUUGCAAUGGAAAGGGAAUAAAGCAACCCUUAAUUCGUAUGAAAGUAAAUCAAGUCUCAGGUGGUAUUGUAUUAACAAUUAUUGUUAAUUUCAUAAUCAAAGUGACGCACAUUUCUUUUCUAUACAAUAAGUUUUUGUAAUAAUUAUUAUACUUAAAGACACUUUUGUCUAUUGCACAUUUUUUAAAUUAAGUAAGGUGUGAUUUACUCAUUAGGUACCCUUGUAAUAAUUAUGCGAUACUGUUUACUUAAAUGUAAUAUUUUUAUUACUUGAGUGUGAAAGUGUUAGGAUAUAUUUCUAUUUAGAAAAUAACCAACCAUUAAGUCUUGUUGGUUGUGGGAUACCUACAAUGUGUUGUAUUCGUGAAUAUCGAAUUGACUUGCAUAUCUAUUGUACAGCUGCUUGUGGUUUUGCUUUCCACUUGUUUGUAUAGAAAAACAAUCAUUUAGUAUGUUGAAAUAUUAUGGUUGGUUCUGUGAUACAUUUCGAUUGGUUGUUGUAUAUUCUUUAAAUAAUUGUUACCAAUAAUACAUAAUAUUUAUUUUAUCUUUUUGUUUAUUUUUAUACUUGUAUGUUAAAUAAACCUUCAUUAAUUUAA